rnacentral:piRNA from 1 species
UGCAAAUAGCCCAGUUGUACAGGGAGUUG